UACGAAGGGGGCUAGCGUUGCUCGGAAUUACUGGGCGUAAAGCGUGCGCAGGCGGUUUGCUAAGACCGAUGUGAAAUCCCACGGCUCACCCGUGGAACGGCUGGGCAUACUGGGAGUCUUGAGCCACCUAGGGGCUGCCGGAACAAAUGGUGGAGCGGUGAAAUGCGUAGAUAUCAUUUGGAACGCCAACGGAGAAAUCAGGCAGCUGGGGGUGUGCUGACGCUGAGACGCGAAAGCGUGGGGAGCAAACAGG
rnacentral:rRNA from 1 species